AGUGGGAUAGCUGGGCCAAAGGUGGUUCCAUUCCAGAUUUUCUAAGGAAUCUCCAUACUGCUUUCCAGAAUGGUUGCACCAAUUUGCAGUCCCACCAGCAAU
rnacentral:pre_miRNA from 1 species